rnacentral:rRNA from 1 species
UGCUGCCUACGGGACGCAGCAGUGGGGAAUAUUGGGCAAUGGGCGCAAGCCUGACCCAGCAACGCCGCGUGAAGGAAGAAGGCUUUCGGGUUGUAAACUUCUUUUCUCAGGGACGAAGCAAGUGACGGUACCUGAGGAAUAAGCCACGGCUAACUACGUGCCAGCAGCCGCGGUAAUACGUAGGUGGCAAGCGUUAUCAGGAUUUACUGGGUGUAAAGGGCGUGUAGGCGGGAAAGCAAGUCAGAUGUGAAAACCACGGGCUC